AUUGAACGCUGGCGGCAUGCCUUACACAUGCAAGUCGAACGGUAACGGGCCUUCGGGUGCCGACGAGUGGCGAACGGGUGAGUAUACAUCGGAACGUGCCCGAUCGUGGGGGAUAACGAGGCGAAAGCUUUGCUAAUACCGCAUACGAUCUACGGAUGAAAGCAGGGGACCGCAAGGCCUUGCGCGGACGGAGCGGCCGAUGGCAGAUUGGGUAGUUGGUGGGAUAAAAGCUUACCAAGCCGACGAUCUGUAGCUGGUCUGAGAGGAUGAUCAGCCACACUGGGACUGAGACACGGCCCAGACUCCUACGGGAGGCAGCAGUGGGGAAUUUUGGACAAUGGGCGCAAGCCUGAUCCAGCCAUGCCGCGUGCAGGAUGAAGGCCUUCGGGUUGUAAACUGCUUUUGUACGGAACGAAAAGCCUUCUUUUAAUACAGGAGGGUCAUGACGGUACCGUAAGAAUAAGCACCGGCUAACUACGUG
rnacentral:rRNA from 1 species